UAUUGGACAGAGGUACUCGGAAGCUAUACUGGUGGGAGGUAGUAGUUAGCAUUUAGCAGGUACCCUGAAUUAAUCGAGGUGCACAUAAGCUAGGCAGGAACAACCGGGUACAAAAUAAUUAAAAAGGAGAUUAGAGUGAGACUAAACGUCUGUUUGCUAAUAUUGCAACAUUCUCAAUGAUGCAGAAUUCUCCAUGUGAUCCUUGCAUGGUGCAUUGCUGCUUGCACUGGUGUGCCUUGUGCCAGGAGCAUAGGGAGAUGAAAAGCCGUCUGUCAGAUAAUGCUGCUAUGCCAAUGACAAUAGUCAAUCCUCCCCCUGUCCAGGAGAUGAAUGCUGCUCCUGACAACUGUGAAUUUGUAGCUUCCUCAGCAAAUAUCAGAUAAUGCUGCGAUGCCAAUGACAAUAGUCAAUCCUCCCCCUGUCCAGGAGAUGAAUGCUGCUCGUGACAACCGUGAAUCUGUACCUUCCUCAGCAAAUAGCACCCAACAAACCAACCUCGAGAUGCAAGCUCUAUGAAAACUAAAAAUCAAUUUACUACAUCAGAUUGCUGCUUAAAGAGUUCGCAUGUGUCUCCCAGUUAUACAGGAAAAGAUGGUCAUUGUUUUAGAGGCAUUUAGAUCUUCAAAUUCUUGUUGUGAUGAAAUUGGCCUUUUUGACGCACAGCUUCGGCCAAUAAUGUAUUUUGAACUGUAGAUGAGUAACAGUAUUUGCACUCUUUUGUUUAGAGUGUUUCAGAAAUCUUUUAAAUUUAUUUAGAGUCAAAGAUAAAAAUACCAACUUGUAAUAAAAAAAAUCUUGUAUUCUGCUUUCUAUAGUACAUUCAUUUCAUGUCCUCUUCUUUUCUAUAUCGCUGCUCUCCCU
rnacentral:lncRNA from 1 species